UUUAAUAAUUUAAGAACAGGUGUCGCAAGACUUAAUAGAGAAGCUGGUAGAGUCCAGCACGGUCCCGCCACUGUAAGAGGAGCGAAGCUAUAGCAAGUGCCACUGGGUUACGAUUAAUGUGAUCUGGGAAGGUGUAGCCUAGCGAUGAAUCGAGUCAGGAGAACUGCCUGUUUAUAAAUCACCGU
rnacentral:ncRNA from 2 species